GGAUAUGAGAGCGAUCUGGCUGAGACGUCUGUUACCCUAUUGAUUGCCAGGGUUGAUUCAGCGACCUGGCUAGCUAGGUGUGUGUGCUCUUCUUCCCUCACCGCUUUAUGUACGUCCCUCAAUAAGUGCGCACUCCGUGGAAGAGGACGUCCAUCCCCCAGAGAAGAGGAACAGUCUUCGAUCAAAGGUAUAGGAGUAGUUGCGCUCCUCUGCUAGACUCUCCAAACAUGCUUUUUUUUUUUCUUCUUCUUCUUCUUCUUUUUGAGAUGGAGUCUCAUUCUGUUGCUAGGCUGGAGUGCAAUGGCAUGAUCUCAACUCACUGCAACCU
rnacentral:snRNA from 1 species